UUCAUCUGGCUUGUGCACUGAUGUGCAAUCUAUCUGAACCUAAAGCUGCUAAAAUCCAUCCAUGCCUAUUUCCUGUGUCCAUGGUUAUUAGCACUUGUGUGGAUUGAAUGAGUAGGCUAACUUAUGAAUUGUCAUGCUGCCCUAUAUUCUGAAUUGUUGUGGCCAUAGCUAUGUUAAUGGCGAACUAUGCAUUUGUCCCAUGGUUAUAAAUUAAACUGUGAAGUGGUUGCAUGUGUUUUUGCAGGUUUGUCCAUUGCCUUAAUCCUGACCCUGCAGUUUAGCAUUUGGUCUGGUUCUGCAGGAUUCUUGGCUUGGGCAUUAUGGUGGUUUGGUUCUGCAUCAGGUAGUUUGUGGAUUGAUUAUGCUUGCCAUGAACAUGAAUGAAUUGUGUUGAAACCUCUUGCCAAGCCAUAUUUUAUUAGAAUUAUAGGACCUGCUUCUUGGUUGUGACUUAGGGUGCAACAAGGUACUGAAUGGCAUUUUCUGCAGGAUUUGCACCAGUUGGGUUCAGUGAUGGUCCCAAUAGUUGCUUGCUGCUAUGUUUUGUUGUUGAGAAAAGCUAGAGAGGAACUCCCACUAUAGCAUAGUAGUAUGGUGAACUUCAUUUUGAUGAAGAUGCUGAAUGGGAUCGAUGGAGGGUUCAGGUACUGAUAGCAAGAAAUCCAUGGAGCCAAAACAGGUUGGUGCGGAAUAUUCGCAGCUUGCUGUAAGAAAGUUCAAAC